rnacentral:tRNA from 1 species
UAUAUAUUAAUGUAAGAUGCAUAUGAAUUUUUGAUAUUCAAUGAAAUAGUUUAAUUCUAUUUUAUAUAA